UUGGCGAACGGAUGAGGUAUUAGUUAAAUGCUUAUAUAGAGUUCUUUUGUAGUUUCAACACAUUUUGUGAUGUUAUCUGCUGUGUGUUGGAACUACAAAAGCCUGAUCUGCUGGCAUUGUGUAUCUAGUGACAUGAUUAAAAGUUAUACAAUGGGAACGGGUCUAGUUAUGAUUACAGUUUUUGGGUAUAAUGAUUGUUGCGGUCCUUGUGGAGUUGUUCAUCUUUUGCUUUUGAUUGAUUGUUGAACUCUUUGCGGUCAUGGCAGGUCUAGAACCAGAAGGAUCACAAUUUGAUGGUCGUCAGUAUGAUACCAAAAUGAAUGAGUUACUUUCAGCUGAUGGGCAAGAUUUCUUUACAUCAUAUGAUGAGGUUUAUGAUAGUUUUGACUCUAUGGGUUUGCAAGAGAACCUUCUGCGGGGCAUUUAUGCAUGCGGUUUUGAAAAACCCUCAGCAAUUCAGCAAAGGGGAAUUGUUCCCUUCAUCAAAGGUUUGGAUGUAAUUCAACAGGCUCAGUCUGGAACCGGAAAGACAGCAACUUUUUGCUCCGGUAUCCUUCAACAGCUUGACUAUGGUUUAGUUGAAUGCCAGGCCUUGGUUUUGGCACCUACUUGUGUGCUUGCUCAACAGAUUGAGAAGGUUAUGCGAGCACUUGGAGAGUUUCUUGGCGUGAAGGUACAUGCUUGUGUGGGUGGAACCAGUGUUCGUGAAGACAAGCGCAUUCUAUUGAGUGGGGUUCAUGUUGUUGUUGGCACUGUUGGGCGUGUGUUUGAUAUGCUGAAGAGACAGUCACUUCGUCCUGGUUACAUUAAGAUGUUUGUACUAGAUGACGCAGAUGAAUUGCUUUCUCAUGGUUUCAAGGAUCAGGAGGAUUUGUUUGGUUCAAUUAAAAGGUGAACUGGGCCAGGAAGAUGGUUGAACAGAUAGCGGGUUUAGUAAAGUAGGGAAGAGGGGUUGAUGCAGGAACAUAAUGGGAUCUAUGAUAUAUUCCAGCUCCUCCCUUCAAAAGUUCAGGUUGGUUUAUCCUCAGUUACAAUGCCUCCCAAAGGCCUUGAGAUCACAAGGAAGUUUAUGAACAAACCAGUCAGGAUUCUCGUGAAACGCGAUGAG